rnacentral:lncRNA from 1 species
AGAAGCAGCAAACCGAGCAUCAGGUGCCUGCUGGGCAGUGGGAUUGGAGGACUCAUUAACAUACGAUGUUGCUUCGGAACGUGUAAGGACCGCCAGCAGUAGUAACCAGUUCCAUAAACGAAAAGCCAUAAACAUUGCAGGACCCAUGCCUGUGCGACUCUGACUUCGCACCUGGGUCCUGAUGUAUGCCACGCCUCUGCGGCACAGGUUUCUGGAACUAAACCAUCCUACCAGGCAAGAACCUAGAAUGAGGCACUUCAGCAAGUUGACACUUCAGGGAGGCCAAAGUCCUGUACUGCCUGUGUCCCUUCAAUCCCAGAUUUUAGAGUCAACUAUUAAACAUCUGUACUUCAGCAAA